CAUGGAGAGUUUGAUCCUGGCUCAGAACGAACGCUGGCGGCGCGUCUUAAGCAUGCAAGUCGAGCGGUAAGAGUAGCAAUACUCCGAGAGCGGCGGACUGGUGAGUAACGCGUGGAUAAUCUACCCGAGAGGUUGGGGAUAGCCGCUAGAAAUAGCGGAUAAUACCGAAUACGGUUGCGGAGCGAGAGCCCCGUAAAGAAAAGCGCCGCAAGGCGUUGCCUCCGGAUGAGUCCGCGUCCCAUUAGCUAGUUGGCGAGGUAAAGGCCCACCAAGGCGAUGAUGGGUAGCCGGCCUGAGAGGGUGAACGGCCACAUUGGGACUGAGAUACGGCCCAAACUCCUACGGGAGGCAGCAGCUAAGAAUAUUCCGCAAUGGGCGAAAGCCUGACGGAGCGACGCCGCGUGGAUGACGAAGGCCGUAAGGUUGUAAAAUCCUUUUGCCAUUGAAGAAUAAGCCGUAGAGGAAAUGCUACGGCGAUGACGUUAGAUGGCGAAUAAGCCCCGGCUAAUUACGUGCCAGCAGCCGCGGUAACACGUAAGGGGCAAGCGUUGUUCGGAAUUAUUGGGCGUAAAGGGCGCGUAGGCGGUUCGAUAAGCCUGAUGUGAAAUCCCGCAGCUUAACUGCGGAACUGCAUUGGGAACUGUGGAACUAGAGUCUCGAAGGGGAAGU
rnacentral:rRNA from 1 species